CAACCCUCGAACCCCUCCGGGGGGUCGGCGUUGGGGAUCGGCCCUCCCUUAGCGGGUGGCCGUCUCCGAAAUACAGUGGCGGUCUCGCCGCAGCCUCUCCUGCGCAGUAGUUUGCACACUCGCAUCGGGAGCGCGGCGCGUCCACAGCCGUUAAACACCCAACUUCCUGAAA
rnacentral:misc_RNA from 1 species